CACCGAUAGCGGCACAACAGCGACAUGCAGCGCCGAUAACGGUACAGCAGCCACAUCCAGCACCAAUAGCGGCACAACAGUGACAGGCAGCACCGAUAAUCAAACAAGGAAAAUCCGUGGACUGGAAAUCAUUGACCAAGAAAUAUCUAUUCUGUCAACAGAGCUAAUUGCGCCGGACAUCCAGGAAUCAAAGAAUGUGGAAACUGACGCAGAAAACGAGUAUUUUACCAAACACCCUCUGAUGCGGCUGUUCCU